rnacentral:rRNA from 1 species
GAUGAACGCUAGCGGGAGGCUUAACACAUGCAAGUCGAGGGGUAAAUGGUAGCAAUACUAUGAGACCGGCGGACGGGUGCGUAACGCGUAUGCAACAUACCUUGUGCAGGGGGAUAGCCCGUGGAAACGCGGAUUAAUAUUCCAUAGUCCAGCUAUAUCGCAUGGUAUAGUUGGUAAAGAUUUAUCGGCACAAGUUUGGCAUGCGUCUGAUUAGCUUGUUGGUAGGGUAACGGCCUACCAAGGCUACGAUCAGUAGGGGUUCUGAGAGGAUUAACCCCCCACACUGGUACUGAGACACGGACCAGACUCCUACGGGAGGCAGCAGUGAGGAAUAUUGGUCAAUGGGCGGAAGCCUGAACCAGCCAUCCCGCGUGAAGGAAGACAGCCUUACGGGUUGUAAACUUCUUUUCUGUCAGAAGAAUAAGCUUGUCGAGACGAGUGAUGCCGGUAUGACAGGAAUAAGCAUCGGCUAACUCCGUAGCCAGCAGCCGCGGU